UGGGGAAUAUUGCACAAUGGGGGAAACCCUGAUGCAGCGACGCCGUGUGAAGGAAGAAGUAUUUCGGUAUGUAAACUCCUAUCAGCAGGGAAGAAGAUGACGGUACCUGAGUAAGAAGCACCGGCUAAAUACGUGCCAGCAGCCGCGGUAAUACGUAUGGUGCAAGCGUUAUCCGGAUUUACUGGGUGUAAAGGGAGCGUAGACGGAUAGGCAAGUCUGGAGUGAAAACCCAGGGCUCAACCCUGGGACUGCUUUGGAAACUGCAGAUCUGGAGUGCCGGAGAGGUAAGCGGAAUUCCUAGUGUAGCGGUGAAAUGCGUAGAUAUUAGGAGGAACACCAGUGGCGAAGGCGGCUUACUGGACGGUGACUGACGUUGAGGCUCGAAAGCGUGGGGAGCAAACAAG
rnacentral:rRNA from 1 species